rnacentral:rRNA from 1 species
AAGUCGUGCGCAGGCUCGCUCCCUUUUGGGAGCGGGUGCUGAGCGGCAAACGGGUGAGUAACACGUGGGUAACCUACCCCCAGGAGGGGGAUAACCCCGGGAAACCGGGGCUAAUACCCCAUAAUGCCACCCGCCACUAAGGCGUGGUGGCCAAAGGGGGCCUCUGGCCUUUGGCCAUGCUCCCGCCUGGGGAUGGGCCCGCGGCCCAUCAGGUAGUUGGUGGGGUAACGGCCCACCAAGCCUAUGACGGGUAGCCGGCCUGAGAGGGUGGCCGGCCACAGCGGGACUGAGACACGGCCCGCACCCCUACGGGGGGCAGCAGUGGGGAAUCGUGGGCAAUGGGCGAAAGCCUGACCCCGCGACGCCGCGUGGGGGAAGAAGCCCUGCGGGGUGUAAACCCCUGUCGGGGGGGACGAAGCGGCUAUGGGUUAAUAGCCCAUAGUCGUGACGGUACCCCCAGAGGAAGGAACGGCUAACUACGUGCCAGCAGCCGCGGUAAUACGUAGGUCCCGAGCGUUGCGCGAAGUCACUGGGCGUAAAGCGUCCGCAGCCGGUCGGGUAAGCGGGAUGUCAAAGCCCACGGCUCAACCGUGGAAUGGCAUCCCGAACUGCCCGACUUGAGGCACGCCCGGGCAGGCGGAAUUCCCGGGGUAGCGGUGAAAUGCGUAGAUCUCGGGAGGAACACCGGAAGGGGAAGCCAGCCUGCUGGGGCUGUCCUGACGGUCAGGGACGAAAGCCGGGGGAGCAAACCGGAUUAGAUACCCGGGUAGUCCCGGCCGUAAACCAUGGGCGCUAGGGCUUGUCCCUUUGGGGCAGGCUCGCAGCUAACGCGUUAAGCGCCCCGCCUGGGGAGUACGGGCGCAAGCCUGAAACUCAAAGGAAUUGGGCGGGGGCCCGCACAACCGGUGGAGCGUCUGGUUCAAUUCGAUGCUAACCGAAGAACCUUACCCGGGCUUGACAUGCUGGGGGAGACUCCGCGA